rnacentral:sRNA from 1 species
GAUUACCCUCCAUACAAAAUGGCAUCAUUUUUUAUAUCGCAACAGCCAAAUACAUCUGGGUUGCUAUACCGAAAAAAGAUGGACGACCAGAUGGACAAAGUGUGUUUUGUUUUCUGAUUCUCUGAUUAUUCCAUAUGUCCAUCACUCUUUCAAGGUCAUUCUGGAUGAUAGGAUUGAACCAAAAUUUCAAACAUUCUAUAUGGAUAGCAUCAAACAAAUCAAGAACUCCACUAUCUCUCGUGUCUUUUAAAAGUGGUAAACACGAGUUAAUGUAUUCAAAAGGGGCAAGGUCACGAUUUUGGUCAAAAAUUAUUUUUUCGAUUUUGAUGUUUACAAUGCUUUAGUAAGGCAUUUUCAAUAGGCAACGAAAAUUUGAGUAUCAUUUGUUGAGUUAUAAGCGAGUUACAGAGCUUACAAUUCUUCGCUAUGUAAACAUUUUUUUUUAGCGUUUGUUUACAUUUUGAAUGUUGAAGUGAAAAUUCCAGUUUAAGACCUAAAAUGAAUGUGUUAUUCGUUAGGAACUGUUUAUUUAUGCUUAAAAUGAAUAAUAAGAUAGACAAACCCGCUUUAAAAAGAUUUUUUACUGGUAUAUUUAACCUAUGUAAACAAAAACAGGACACGAGCCUUGUUUACAUGACAAAGAACUGUAAGCCCUGUAUCUUGCUUAAAACUCAACGACUGGCACCCAAAUUUCAUCUGAUCAUUAGAAAUGCAUUCCUAAAGCAUUGCAACUAAUAAAAACAGAAAAAUAAAAUUCGACCAAAAUCGUGACAAUGCCCCUUUAAAAUCAUGUGCGUGGUGGGGUUUCAUACGUACUCGAAUAGGUUUCGGGUCACAUGAUCAGGUAAUAUAAGGAUCAUGCAGUGGCGUUGCACUCUAAGCUCGCUCGCUAGUUUUGAUUUAAGAUAAAAUAAGAUGAUAUGGAAUGCAGUGAUUAGGGCUGACAGAUGGUUGUUAAUAUGUGCAAAAUAAAAUAAACGCUAUCAAUCUAUCAAUCCCGCCAUCCUCAAAUAAAUGUCUGCAUAUGCGCUUAACCCAAUAUAGAGGAAAGAAGGAAUUUGGCAGUAAGCAGUUGGCAGCGAGUAAGCAGUUGGCAGCCGUAUAAGGAAUUCCAUAGUCUCCUGUUCUUUGUAUACACUUUUUUUGAAAUAGCUAUCUAUCAAUCCCUUCAUCCUCAAAUAAAUGUCUGCACAUGCCCUUAUCCCAAUCAAGAGGAAAGGAAAGCAAUUGUUAGUAAGCAGUUGGAAGUAUGCAGUAAGCAGUUGGCAGUACGCAUGAGCAGUUGGCAGCUGACAGUUGGCUGUUGUAAAUGGAAUUCCUUAGCAAGAGGAAGGGAAUCUUAUUAGUUAUGAAUGGCAGGGAAAUUUUACAACGGAAUUGCAGGAGAAUUUUUUUCUUGCAAAAGAGAUAUACUUUAUAAAUGCAGUCCAUGUAAGAGAACGGACCCAUGCUCCUUGGUGGACCACUCCAGUUCACUGUUGGGGAACUGUGGAUCAAUCUGAUCGGUGAGACCCAGACUCUGGGGACCUGUUUUAUACGAGCCUGGUUUUAGCCAGACCUGAAAUGCCACUCGAACAUGGAAUGUCUUUUUUGUUCUUGGAUCUAGUAGUCUGUAAUAAAGAGAAGCAAUUAUCAGCAACGACAUAAAGGAAUGUUGUGAAGGUCGAAUGUUGUUGAAGACCAUAAUGAUCCUGUGACUUUACAUUGCCUUAUUAGGGGGGAUUAAAGUAUACAUACAUAUGUACAUCUAACUUAAACUUGAUUGCUGUGAGGGUGUAUUACAUCUAAUGUGUUGUAUCAUUGGAGAAAUAAUAAUUUUGUGACUUACUUGAAUUUGGGCGAGAACUCGUUACAUCCUAUGUAUCGUAUAGUGGGAGACAUGAUGAUUUGUUUGAGACUAGAGCUGUCUGGGCGGGAUUUCUCGGUGAAUGCUAUGGACUGUGGCAGCAGAAUGCUUCCUCCUCCCAUCUGGUCACCUUGACAACAAAAGCAUAUAUGGUUUUACACGUUCACCACUUGUCUUUGUUCUAAGCUAGUUUGCACUCCCAAACAUUUUCUGAAAUUAGUCAAACUUGGCAGUAUCUUUAAAUAUCUGAGUUUUAAGCACAAGUUAUGUUUUUUAUGCAUGUUCAUGAUUUUGUCAAAAUAUAUAAAUGUUGAUCUGAUGGUG